rnacentral:rRNA from 1 species
UACGUAGGGUGCAGGCGUUAAUCGGAAUUACUGGGCGUAAAGCGUGCGCAGGCGGUCUCUUAAGACAGGUGUGAAAUCCCCGGGCUUAACCUGGGAACUGCGCUUGUAACUGAGAGGCUUGAGUGUGCCAGAGGGGGGUGGAAUUCCACGUGUAGCAGUGAAAUGCGUAGAGAUCUGGAGGAACACCGAUGGCGAAGGCAGCCCCCUGGGCUAACACUGACGCUCAUGCACGAAAGCGUGGGGAGCAAACAGG